rnacentral:rRNA from 1 species
UACGUAGGCAGCGAGCGUUGUUCGGAAUUACUGGGCGUAAAGAGUGUGUAGGCGGUGCUCUAAGUUCGGUGUGAAAUCUCCUGGCUCAACUGGGAGGGUGCGCCGGAAACUGGAGUGCUUGAGCGUGGGAGAGGAAAGCGGAAUUCCUGGUGUAGCGGUGAAAUGCGUAGAUAUCGGGAGGAACUCCGGCGGCGAAAGCGGUGCACUGGUGGAUUACUGACGCUGAGGUGCGAAAGCCAGGGGAGCAAACGGG